GCAAGCGCAGGGACAGAAAGCCCACAUAAAGAUUUAGUGCAUAGAUUCAAAAUGCAUAUAGAUAGAUCCCUUACGAGAAUCAUGGUUAUUUUGUGGUAACCAUAGUUUUACUACAAUAACCAUUUAAUUUUCAUAGAUAGAUAGAUAGAUAGAUAGAUAGAUAGAUAGAUAGAUAGAUAGAUAGAUAGAUAGAUAGAUAGAUAGAUAGAUAGAUAGAUAGAUAGAUAGAUGUUUUCAUGUAACAAUAAAAUGGAAAAAGCUAAAAACAAAUCAAUAUUCGACGAUAAAUCAAUGAGGGAUGAGCGCGCGUGGGGGAUGGGACGCAAGGACGCAACGCGCAGACAACAAGCUAUGGAGUCGGCCUUCUUUUUUGGACACAAUUUUAUAAACUAAUGCUAAAUAGUCUUUAAAGGUCCAUUGCCGUGUUUACGAAAUAUUGGUCGAAUCAUGAACCGGAAUCAUGGCCCAUGACCGUAUUUCGUUAUGAUGCUUGUAGCGUAUUUACCAGUAGCCUAAAAAUGCUGUGUUGUUUAAAUCCAUGGAUGGGUCAUGGACAAACCAAACCUAGAAAAUGUCCAUAUUUGACCUAUGGGUAGAAACAACUCAGCAUUUUUUUGGCGUGUUUGCAUUCCUUAAGAGCAGUGAUUUUGUGCUGAUGGUAGAUUAUUUAUUUUUUAGCUUUGAAUGUUUAUUAAAAUUGUAAAUGUUUUACCAUUGCUUGCUUUUUACUUGAACCAAAUCACUAAUCGUAAUUUCUGCAUUAAAAUGGGCAUCAAGAAUAUAGGAAACAGUAAGAAACAAGUGCGUCGUUGCGACGAUUCGAGGCGCAUGUGAAAUAAAGAAAACUGCAGCAAAUAUUUCCCAAUAUUUUCCAAAGGGCGACUUGUUUAGUGACCCGACAGAUGCCACCUCUUUCCACCAGAGUAUAAUCCUCUCUGAUGGGAAGGGAACAGAGGAGCAGGACGGAGAGCUUGAGUAUCUGUGAUAAACUGGGCUGCUCUCCUCCUCUCUGUCAGAUCGCGCUCUGCAUCACACCAUUUCACAUGAUGACCGACUCCGUUAACAAGCAUCGAAACCUUCUGCUCUGGCUAUUUCCUUCAGACAAACAUUUUGCUUUGUGUUUUCGUUUAUCGUGAAGAACCUUUUGUGCUGUAACACUGUAAGGGAAAAUUAUUUAUGUUACAUGCAACAACAUCCAGGGUGCACCGUGCGCAAACGCUCUGGUGAUGGUUUUGGACGGACGCUCUUCAGCAUCAUCUGGCUCGUGGACAUUUCCUUAAACUGGAUAUAUGGACAAUAAUUUUGACGGGGGAUAAACCUGUUAUUUAUUCCCGCUUCGGAAGGUGUGUUUGUAGUGAAUGGACGUCAGGAUGCUCGAACCCAUCGCCUAAUUAAAAUCCUAUUUGCGGGGACACCGUUUCUCUUUCUGUGCAUGGCGCAAGGUUGGGCUUUGACAAAUGGUCCCCUCCACUUUUUUCCCAAUAUUUAGUUUACCCCCUCCUGAUGCAGGUGCAUUCAACUGCCCCCACCUUCUAACAUAUACCCCGCCCGACCCCCCACGCGAGGCGGCGUUGUCUCUGGUUUAGUCCAACAGUUUCCCCCCUUCUUUCUUACCUCUGCUGCAUUUUGCAUGAGCUAUGUAGGUCAUUAGCAUUUUAGCGUAUGCGAGACUUGACAAAGCUGGUGAGGAGCCAGAUGGGCCCUCUACUAUUUUUUGUAUCUCAUGGGAGUUGAGCAAGGGACCAACUGCAGCAAGCCAUUGAGCGCGUUCUUUUUAUUGCCAUCAUUCGGGCCUUAUGUUGCACCAACACAUCAUGAUGAGGAGAUGCGCAUCGUCCUAUGGAAAUAACGCGCUCGUGCCAUACGCUUUCGAACUAUGGGUAAUGUAAUAUGAGAACGCGUGCAUGUAUUUUCUACAUUAUGUGUUAUUUUUAGAUACAUAUCUGCAACCGAUGCUUUAGGGGUGCAUGACGCUCUAUGCGUUGCUGGAUGCUGAUGUUACUCCAGUCGACAGACGACGUAGACAUUUUGGUGCAACAUCGUUGCGCUGUUGUGCAAUUCCGAAUAUUGAGGCUGAAAACAGGCCCGCUUCUCUUCGUGUUCACAGCGGACCUUGAUUUAAAUGUCCAUACAAUUAAGGCACGCGGUGAAUGCCAAGAGAGAUGGCAAAUAUCAUCGAUGACUAUUUUUGUAAGAGCACGACGUAGAUGCUUUGCAAUGCAUGACAGUUUGGUUGUAUGUAUGCAUUAUUUUUUAAGGGUUUUAUGACCGCGCGCGCGCGCGUGUGUGUGUUAAAGCAAACCGACGCAUUAAUGCGGCCAAACUGAUUGCGUCUAUAGAUUUGUGCAAAAUUGUGUUUAGGAAAAGUGCUUAUCAUUUAACAUUAUAAACAUUCAGAGCAUCUAGAAGAUUAACCUUGAGGCUUGAUGACAUUACACAUUUUGUUAUUUAGCCUAUACCCUCGUAUUUGGGCUAUUUAUAGAGCACUUUGAUUUAAAGAUUGCGAAGAAAAACUGCCUAUAGAAAUGCCGCAAUCUUUUGACAGAACCGUCUUAAGAAGAUGAGGACAAAUGUGGAUAGAAAAGUUGUGAGGCCUAAUGACAGCCAAGCAGAUUAAACAAACCGGAUACCUGAUUUUUUUGUAAAAGUUUAAUAGAAAUAUGGUGUCAGAAUCAGUGGGCAUUAGCAUCACAAAAUGUUCAGCAUGUUUCCAAUGUUCGUUUGUAAUGUAUCCAUGAUUCUGAAAGAUUUGUAAACAUUUUUAGGCUGUCAAUAAAACACGUAUUCAUGA